rnacentral:rRNA from 1 species
AUGAGGGUCGCGAAUAUAUCGAUUCCAGCCAACGAUGACACUAUGACUUCAAUUCGAUUGAUUCUUAACAAAUUAGUAUUUUCAAUUUGUGAGGGCCAUUCUCUCUAUAUAAGAAAUUGUUGA